GAUUUCACCGAAUGAGCGCAUAUAACCCAUCUUACACGCUGUAAACCCAUAAUCGAAUUGUGAAAAAUUCGAUUGAAGAAAAAGGAUAAACAAGAAAAGUUAGUUAAUCAAACGACAAUGAACAAAAGGAACAUGGAUCUUAUUCUCAUUGAAGCCCUUCUAUCAGUACCUGGAUAAAGCAUGCUGAUCACAAAUAUUGAUUAAAAUAGGAUAGAGGAAAUCAAUUCGCGAGAAUUGAAGUUUAAAGAUUUCGUCAACUGACAUAAAAAGCAGGACUUUCUCGAUUCUAUGAAGAGGGGAACUUUGGAGGAAAAUGACGCUGAAUGAUGUGGACACUUCAAAAAAUUGCCCAACUUCACUGGACACAUUCUCUUUUUGUUUUAACAAAACGGGGUAAAAGAGACAUCCAUUUUAUUAAAAAUUGUUUUAUGUUAUCAAAAGUUCAAUUAUUUAUAUCACAAAAUAUGAUUGAUGUAGUUUAAAGGACUGCAUUUUUUUUAACAAAAUGUCUUCUAAAUGUAAAUUAAAAUUUAAGUAUAACUGCCUAUGUAAAAAAAGAAUUACAGCUAAUUAUGAAUAUUGUAUAAAAUGUACUAUGAAUUAAAGUGAAAUAAAAAACGAUUUUUUAUGAAAAUCAAAUUUUUAAAUUUUUGGUAAAAAAACUGGAUUUCCAGUUGGCAUAGCUAAAUUUUAGUAAUCCAAGAAUUUAUGACAAAUAGUUAUGUGUACGAAAAUUUAUGUUGGCAUUCCUAAACUUUAGUAGUAUACAGACGUAAAACAUUUUAAUAGUCAUAACUAAAUAUUCUGUUGAGAGAACUAAAAUUUUUCGUUUUGGGCAAUUACUAAAAAUUUUAGUAAAAAUUCUUUACUAAAUUUCUUU